rnacentral:rRNA from 1 species
UACGUAGGGGGCAAGCGUUGUCCGGAUUUAUUGGGCGUAAAGCGCGCGUAGGCGGCUUAUUAAGUCCGAUGUGAAAACUCUCGGCUCAACUGGGAGACUGCAUUGGAAACUGGUAGGCUAGAGUCCAGCAGAGGGAAGUGGAAUUCCAAGUGUAGCGGUGAAAUGCGCAGAUAUUUGGAAGAACACCAGUGGCGAAGGCGGCUUCCUGGACUGCGACUGACGCUGAGGUGCGAAAGCUAGGGGAGCGAACAGG